rnacentral:rRNA from 1 species
UGGGGAAUAUUGGACAAUGGGCGCAAGCCUGAUCCAGCCACGCCGCGUGAGUGAUGAAGGCCUUCGGGUUGUAAAGCUCUGUGGGGAAGGAAGAACAAGGUGAACUCAAAUAGGGUUUGCCCUUGACGGUACUUCCUUAGCAAGCACCGGCUAACUCUGUGCCAGCAGCCGCGGUAAGACAGAGGGUGCGAACGUUGCUCGGAAUUACUGGGCGUAAAGCGCGUGUAGGCGGAUUUGAUAGUCAGGUGUGAAAUCCCUGGGCUCAACCUAGGAACUGCAUCUGAAACUUCAAGUCUCGAGUGUCGGAGAGGGAGACGGAAUUCCUGGUGUAGGGGUGAAAUCCGUAGAUAUCAGGAGGAACAUCUGUUGCGAAGGCGGUUUCCUGGACGAUUACUGACGC